rnacentral:tRNA from 1 species
GCAGACAUAGUUUAGUGGUAAAACCUCAGCCUUCCAAGCUGAUGAUGUGGGUUCGAUUCCCAUUGCCUGCU